rnacentral:ncRNA from 1 species
UUCUUAUCUAGAGAGGUAGAGGGACUGGCCCGUCGACACCUCAGCAACCAUUAACGCAAUCCGUUAAUAAGGUGCUAAUUCCAGCAAAUUGUGACAAGAUUUGACAGAUGAGAA